ensembl:lncRNA
GUAAGUCACCCGUCCUCUCUUACCCCUCACGACACAGCGGCGCUUCCUAAACCACCUCGGCCCCGACGUACACAACUAAACGCGCGUGUGCUCUUCGCGCGCGGCCGCGUCGCAGAGUGAAGGCGGCUCCACAGAACUUCACCGAGCGAACCACGCGCGUCCCCGCGAGCCGUUCGCGGCCGCUUAGCUCGUUUCUUCCUCUCCCCUCGCGACCACAUCUGGUUCGUGUUGUCGAACAGCACCAGAGAUACGCGCCUGAAGGCUCGCUGGUCUGCGCAUACAGCACGCGCCUCACGCUGCUUCGGUGGUCUUAAGUUCGGCUGUAGGGAAUCUCAGAGCCAAAGGAGGAGCUGCUGUCUGUGACUUUGUCUCUUGUACCCGUCCUCAGAGUUUGAAGCUGAAGAAGAGUCCCUCCUACAGUCAGGACACAUAGUAACACUUUCAGGUAAUAUAUAUUCAAUACAAUCAUGCAUUCCUCUAGGAAAUUUAUUCCAGCAGCUUACAAAAACCCAACCCAACUGUCUGUCACCCAAUGCCAAAACUGAUUUCUGGUAAUACUUGGGCCGUAUCUUUUUCUCUAUAACUGAUUUCAUUUUCAAUGUUAUAAAAUGCUUCUCCUGAUUCAAAUGACCUGCAGACAGUGUUGAGGGGUCAAGGGAAAUAUAAAAGUUAUUUUAUGUGUAUCUUUGCAGGGAAUUGAAAUUUCCAUCAUGUUUUUCGUGUUGAGCAAUACCUUUCUAGCGAAGGCAUCUGCUGACGUUCUCUCCUCUGGCUGUGUUUUCUGGAAGAGCUCCUAAUCUGUCGGAGUUGAGAACCGUGGGACGCCGGGUAAUCAGGCCUGAGCUGCUCCUUCCAAACCAGCCAAACAUCUGGCUGCCUGCCGUUUGACCGCCUUGGCCACACACACACACACACACACGCACGCACGUUUGAUGCUAAAAGCGCUGCAGAGGAGCUCAGAAAUUACACUCAAUAAACACAGAAAUCAAAUAGAACAAUUUCCAAAUAUUAGCUUUGCCAUCUACUUUCCUGCAGUCUUAUAAAACGGCCUUUGUUGCUCACAGUAAAUAGGUUUCCCCUGCCCCCUGCCAAGUCAAACACAAAUGUCCGGUCGAUGGGAGCGUGGCUCGACUUUAAUUAAACUCGGUGUUGAUUUGCACGUACAGGCUCCAGACCAGAGAGGCGCUUGGGUCUGCUGAGAGUCCGGACUCUGUUCUUAAUGGUGCCAACACUUCCUUGAAGCUGCUUGUGCACCGAGGCGCUCUCACUGCCAGCCGAGUUGAGGACGAGGUUACAGCAGACCCCGUUGUUCACUUUUAACUUUUAAAUAGGGCACUCCCAAAUAUCCAGAACGUAACUCUGAUUAAAUACAGUCUCAGCUUUAUUUUUCUUAGUUUUGACAUCAUGUGGAUGUGGUAAUGCAUCUUUCAUUCACUAGUUUUGUUACUUUAAGACUCCCUGUCUUUUAGAAAAAAAGCGUUACUGUUACUAUUAUGCUUUGAUAGUGGUCGGCUAAUUGACUUAAUCUCUUCACUGCCGCUGGUUUAUUGAACAUGUGAGUAUCGGGGUGAUAACUGAAGGUCAGUAGGAAUUCCUGUCACGUCUUUAACAACAUGGUGAAGUCAGCUGGCCUCGCUGUGGCCUGGCUGUUCAUGCGGAUGUUAAUUUCCCACAGAAGCACCCAGUGUGACCUCACGCAUGGCUUUCAGCAAUUAAACACUUUAAUCCCAGGUGACCCGGCGGAUCCCACAUGUAAUAUCUCCUCUCAUGCCAGCAAUUCGGUGAAAGAGUAAAUGCACACGACUCCCUAAUUCCUCCUCAGUAAAGUCCGCUACACCAUCUGCUAACAAAUUCUACGCAUUUGUGAAAUCCCUUGCGAGCGACAUUUCUUGAUCCUGCGGAUACGGCGCUGAUGUGCGAUUGAUACAGGACCAAUGUAUGAGGAAUGACUUGAAUAAGAGCUUUAACUGACCUUUACUUGUCCUGUUCAUAACCCAUUUGGAAAAAAAAGUCCACGGUUUAUCCAGUGUGUGCCCGUGUGUGCGUGCGUGUGCAUAUUUAGGGGCGGGGGAUUGGAUUUUGCUUAAAGGACCCUCAGGAUAGAGGCCUCAGAUCUACUUUCCGUCGCUUCACAACAUUAAAAGGAUGAUAUUACUUUGCUGAAAGCACAGAAUUUCAAUGAGAGCAGGAAAAAAACGAAAAUGUUAAAGAAUUCAUUAUAAUAUAAUUUAGUAGAUCAAAGGCUAGAGAUACUUUUCAGUGUGCAACUCUUCUGCAGCAGAGGCGAUUUACAGAAUGUAUGCAUGUAUUUGUCCGACUGUAUCGUAUGAAUGGAGAGUGCUUUACUCUCUAGCUUG